GACGAACGCUGGCGGCGUGCUUAACACAUGCAAGUCGAGCGGUAAGGCCCUUUCGGGGGUACACGAGCGGCGAACGGGUGAGUAACACGUGGGUGACCUGCCCUCAGCUCUGGGAUAAGCCUGGGAAACCGGGUCUAAUACCGGAUAUGACUCCAUGACGCAUGUUGUGGGGUGAAAGCCUUGUGCGGCUGAGGAUGGGCCCGCGGCCUAUCAGCUUGUUGGUGGGGUGAUGGCCUACCAAGGCGACGACGGGUAGCCGGCCUGAGAGGGCGACCGGCCACACUGGGACUGAGACACGGCCCAGACUCCUACGGGAGGCAGCAGUGGGGAAUCUUGCGCAAUGGGCGAAAGCCUGACGCAGCGACGCCGCGUGA
rnacentral:rRNA from 1 species